AACGAACGCUGGCGGCAUGCCUAACACAUGCAAGUCGAACGAGACCUUCGGUCUAGUGGCGCACGGGUGCGUAACGCGUGGGAACCUGCCUUUAGGUUCGGAAUAACUCAGAGAAAUUUGAGCUAAUACCGGAUAAUGUCUUCGGACCAAAGAUUUAUCGCCUUUAGAUGGGCCCGCGUUGGAUUAGCUAGUUGGUGGGUAAAGGCCUACCAAGGCGACGAUCCAUAGCUGGUCUGUGAGGAUGAUCAGCCACACUGGGACUGAGACACGGCCCAGACUCCUACGGGAGGCAGCAGUGGGGAAUAUUGGACAAUGGGCGAAAGCCUGAUCCAGCAAUGCCGCGUGAGUGAUGAAGGCCUUAGGGUUGUAAAGCUCUUUUACCCGAGAUGAUAAUGACAGUAUCGGGAGAAUAAGCCCCGGCUAACUCCGUGCCAGCAGCCGCGGUAAU
rnacentral:rRNA from 1 species